UCAAUUUUAUGUCUACAAACUUAUUACAUCCUUUUUAAAAAUAAUGUUCUUAAAGAAAUGAAUCUAGGCCGGGCACGGUGGCUCAUGCCUGUAAUCCCAGCACUUUCGGAGGCCGAGGUGGUCGGAUCACGAGGUUAGGAGAUUGAGACCAUCCUGGCUAACACAGUGAAACCCCAUCUCUAAUAAAAAUACAAAAAAACUAGCCGUUAAUAAAACAUGUAAAUAUUCAAGAUAUAUUUUGUUUUUAGGAUAUUUUGAGAAUGUUUAUUUUUUAUCAUCACAACUUUUAGACAAGAAAAACACAAAAGAAGAAAAACUCUCAACAUUUCAUCUUGAAAGUUUAUAAAUAUUUUUUCUUAAUACUCUCCCACAAAGAAGUAAAAUAUUUAAAUAGACAUUUUGGUCUCUUUUGUACAUGUUAAUUCCUAUCUUUUUUAUUAUUAUUUUUUUCAUUCUUGCUCUGUCACCCAGGCUGGAGUGCAGUGUACCAUCAUGGCUCAUUGCAACCUUGACCUCCUGAGUUCAAGCAGUCCUCUCACCUCAGCCUUCUAACUACAAGCACAUACCACCAAGGCCAGCUAGUCUUUGUAUUUUUAUUUAUUAUUUAUUAUUAUUACUAUUUUUGAGACGGAGUCUCACUCUGUUGCCCAGGUUGGGGUGCAGUGUGGUGUGAUCUUGGCUUACUGCAGUCUCCGCCUCCCGGGUUCAAGCAAUUUUCAUGCCUCAGCCUCACAAGUAGCUGGAAUUAAGGCUCCCACCACCAUGCCCAGCUAAUAUUUUUUGUAUUUUUAGUAGAGAUAGGGUUUCACCAUGUUGGCCAGGCUGGUCUCAAACUCCUGACCUAAAGUGAUCUGCGUGCUUCAGCCUCCCAAAGUGCUGGUAUUGCAGGCAUGAGCCACCAUGCCCAGCCUAGUUUUUGUAUUUUUUGUAGAGAAGAGAUCUCACUACUUUGCCCAUGCUGGUCUUGAACUACCAGCCUUAAGCAAUGCU
rnacentral:lncRNA from 1 species